GUUGUAUGGUUAAGUGACGAAGCGUAUACGGUGGAUGCCUUGGCAGUUAGAGGCGAUGAAGGACGUGUAAGUCUGCGAAAAGCUGUGGUGAGCCGACAAAAUGCAUUUGAGCCACAGAUGUCCGAAUGGGGAAACCCACCUGUUUACAGGUAUCGUUACGUGAAUACAUAGCGUAACGAGGCGAACGAGGGGAACUGAAACAUCUAAGUACCCUUAGGAAAAGAAAUCAAACGAGAUUCCCCUAGUAGCGGCGAGCGAACGGGGAACAGCCCUUAAGCUGUUUAGUGUGUAGUGGAAUCCUUUGGGAAGAGGAGCGAUACAGGGUGAUAGCCCCGUACACAAAGCGUGCUUUACAGUGAAAUCGAGUAGGUCGGGACACGUGUUAUCUUGACUGAAUAUGGGGGGACCAUCCUCCAAGGCUAAAUACUCCUAACUGACCGAUAGUGAACCAGUACCGUGAGGGAAAGGCGAAAAGAACCCCUGUGAGGGGAGUGAAAUAGAACCUGAAACCGUAUACGUACAAGCAGUGGGAGCCCUUCGGGGUGACUGCGUACCUUUUGUAUAAUGGGUCAGCGACUUAUAUUUAGUAGCAAGGUUAAGCGAAUAGCGGAGCCGUAGCGAAAGCGAGUGUUAACUGCGCGUUUAGUUGCUAGGUAUAGACCCGAAACCCGGUGAUCUAGCCAUGAGCAGGUUGAAGGUUGAGUAACAUCAACUGGAGGACCGAACCCACUGACGUUGAAAAGUCAGGGGAUGACUUGUGGCUGGGGGUGAAAGGCCAAUCAAACCGGGAGAUAGCUGGUUCUCCCCGAAAUCUAUUUAGGUAGAGCCUCGGACGAAUUCCAUUGGGGGUAGAGCACUGUUAAGGCUAGGGGGUCAUCCCGACUUACCAACCCUUUGCAAACUCCGAAUACCAAUGAGAACUAUCCGGGAGACACACGGCGGGUGCUAACGUCCGUCGUGGAGAGGGAAACAACCCAGACCGCCAGCUAAGGUCCCAAAAUAUUGCUAAGUGGGAAACGAUGUGGGAAGGCACAGACAGCUAGGAGGUUGGCUUAGAAGCAGCCACCCUUUAAAGAAAGCGUAAUAGCUCACUAGUCGAGUCGGCCUGCGCGGAAGAUGUAACGGGGCUAAGCAAUAUACCGAAGCUGCGGCAGCAUGUUUACAUGCUGGGUAGGGGAGCGUUGUGUAAGUGGAUGAAGGUGAGUUGUAAAGCUUGCUGGACAUAUCACAAGUGCGAAUGCUGACAUGAGUAACGAUAAUGGGAGUGAAAAACUCCCACGCCGGAAGACCAAGGUUUCCUGUCCCAUGCUAAUCAGGGCAGGGUAAGUCGGCCCCUAAGGCGAGGCAGAAAUGCGUAGUCGAUGGGAAACGGAUUAAUAUUUCCGUACUUAUAUAAUCAGUGAUGGAGGGACGGAGAAGGCUAGGCAAGCUUGGCGUUGGUUGUCCAAGUGAAAGUGAGUAGGCUGAAAACUUAGGUAAAUCCGGGUUUUCAAGGCCGAGACACGAGACGAGCUCCCAAGGGAGUGAAGUUGUUGAUGCCCUGCUUCCAGGAAAAGCUUCUAAACUUAUGAUUAUAUGAACCGUACCCCAAACCGACACAGGUGGUCAGGUAGAGAAUACUAAGGCGCUUGAGAGAACUCGGGUGAAGGAACUCGGCAAAAUUGUACCGUAACUUCGGGAGAAGGUACGCCUCUGUUUGUGAACACUUCGCGUGGUAAGCAAAUGGAGGCCGCAGUGACCAGGUGGCUGGGACUGUUUAUUAAAAACACAGCACUCUGCAAACUCGUAAGAGGACGUAUAGGGUGUGACACCUGCCCGGUGCCGGAAGGUUAAUUGAUGGGGUUAGUCCUCGGACGAAGCUCUUGAUCGAAGCCCCGGUAAACGGCGGCCGUAACUAUAACGGUCCUAAGGUAGCGAAAUUCCUUGUCGGGUAAGUUCCGACCUGCACGAAUGGUGUAACCAUGGCCACGCUGUCUCCACCCGAGACUCAGUGAAAUUGAAAUCGCAGUGAAGAUGCUGUGUACCCGCACCUAGACGGAAAGACCCCGUGAACCUUUACUACAGCUUGGCACUGAACAUUGAACCUACAUGUGUAGGAUAGGUGGGAGGCUUUGAAGCACAGUCGCUAGAUUGUGUGGAGCCGUCCUUGAAAUACCACCCUUGUAUGUUUGAUGUUCUAACAUUGGUCCCUUAUCGGGAUUGUGGACAGUGUCUGGUGGGUAGUUUGACUGGGGCGGUCUCCUCCCAAAUAGUAACGGAGGAGCACGAAGGUUAGCUAAUCACGGUCGGACAUCGUGAGGUUAGUGCAAUGGCAUAAGCUAGCUUAACUGCGAGACAGACACGUCGAGCAGGUACGAAAGUAGGUCAUAGUGAUCCGGUGGUUCUGUAUGGAAGGGCCAUCGCUCAACGGAUAAAAGGUACUCCGGGGAUAACAGGCUGAUACCGCCCAAGAGUUCAUAUCGACGGCGGUGUUUGGCACCUCGAUGUCGGCUCAUCACAUCCUGGGGCUGAAGUCGGUCCCAAGGGUAUGGCUGUUCGCCAUUUAAAGUGGUACGCGAGCUGGGUUUAGAACGUCGUGAGACAGUUCGGUCCCUAUCUGGUGUGGGCGUUGGAUGAUUGAUGGGAGCUGCUCCUAGUACGAGAGGACCGGAGUGGACGAACCGCUGGUGUUCGGGUUGUCAUGCCAAUGGCAUUGCCCGGUAGCUAUGUUCGGAACGGAUAACCGCUGAAAGCAUCUAAGCGGGAAGCCGGCCCAAAGAUGAGUCAUCCCUGACCUUUAAGGUCUGGAAGGGUUGUUAUAGACGAUGACGUUGAUAGGCAGGGUGUGGAAGCGUUGUAAGGCGUUAAGCUAACCUGUACUAAUUGCCCGAGAGGCUUAACCAUACAACGCCUAA
rnacentral:rRNA from 1 species